CGGACGGGUGAGUAACGCGUGGGUAACCUACCCUGUACACACGGAUAACAUACCGAAAGGUAUGCUAAUACGGGAUAAUAUAUUUGAGAGGCAUCUCUUGAAUAUCAAAGGUGAGCCAGUACAGGAUGGACCCGCGUCUGAUUAGCUAGUUGGUAAGGUAACGGCUUACCAAGGCGACGAUCAGUAGCCGACCUGAGAGGGUGAUCGGCCACAUUGGAGCUGAGACACGGUCCAA
rnacentral:rRNA from 1 species